rnacentral:rRNA from 1 species
GCACGAAGUUAGCCGGGGCUUAUUCUGCGGGUACCGUCAUCAUCGUCCCCGCCAAAAGAGCUUUACAACCCGAAGGCCUUCUUCACUCACGCGGCAUGGCUGGAUCAGGGUUGCCCCCAUUGUCCAAUAUUCCCCA